rnacentral:rRNA from 1 species
AAAAAUGUAUAUAAAAAUAUUAGAGUAGUAAUAGUUAUGAUCUUGAAACUCAAAAAAUUUGGCGGUAUUUUAGUCUAUUCAGAGGAACCUGUGGUAUAAUCGAUAUUCCACGUUGAAUCUUACUUAUUUUUGUUUUUCAAUUUGUAUACCGCCGUUAUUUAAAAAUUUUUAAAGAAUAAUAAUUUUUAAAAUUUCUUAUUAGAGAAAAAGUCAGGUCAAGGUGCAGUUUAUAAAUAAGUAUUUCAUGGGUUACAAUAAAUUUAUUUAAAUGAAUUAAAUUAUGAAAUUAAUUUAUGAAAGUGGAUUUGAUAGUAAAUUUUUAAAGAUUAAAAAAUUGAUU